UACGGAGGGUGCAAGCGUUAUCCGGAUUCACUGGGUUUAAAGGGUGCGUAGGAGGGCAGGUAAGUCAGUGGUGAAAUCUCCAAGCUUAACUUGGAACUGCCGUUGAUACUAUCUGUCUUGAAUACCGUGGAGGUGAGCGGAAUAUGUCAUGUAGCGGUGAAAUGCUUAGAUAUGAACAUAGAACACCAAUUGCGAAGGCAGCUCGCUACACGAA
rnacentral:rRNA from 1 species